rnacentral:rRNA from 1 species
AUUGAACGCUGGCGGCAUGCCUUACACAUGCAAGUCGAACGGUAACAGGUCUUCGGAUGCUGACGAGUGGCGAACGGGUGAGUAAUACAUCGGAACGUGCCUAGUAGUGGGGGAUAACUACUCGAAAGAGUGGCUAAUACCGCAUGAGAUCUACGGAUGAAAGCAGGGGAUCGCAAGACCUUGUGCUACUAGAGCGGCCGAUGGCAGCUUAGGUAGUUGGUGGGAUAAAAGCUUACCAAGCCGACGAUCUGUAGCUGGUCUGAGAGGACGAUCAGCCACACUGGGACUGGUACACGGCCCAGACUCCUACGGGAGGCAGCAGUGGGGAAUUUUGGACAAUGGGCGCAAGCCUGAUCCAGCAAUGCCGCGUGCAGGAUGAAGGCCUUCGGGUUGUAAACUGCUUUUGUACGGAACGAAAAGCCCCGGGUUAAUACCCUGGGGUCAUGACGGUACCGUAAGAAUAAGCACCGGCUAACUACGUGCCAGCCGCCGCGGUAA